CGUUGAUAUCGCAAGGAACACCAAAGGCGAAGGCAUUGCACUGGGCUGGUACUGACCCUGAGAGACGAAAGCGUGGGGAGCAAAACGGAUUAGAUUACCCGUGUAGUCCACGCCGUAAACGAUGGAUACUAGAUGUUCGGGGAUUCGACCCCCUGGGUGUCACAGCUAACGCGUUAAGUAUCCCGCCUGGGAAGUACGGCCGCAAGGCUAAAACUCAAAGGAAUAGACGGGGAUCCGCACAAGCGGUGGAGCGUCUGGUUUAAUUUGAUAGUAAGCAAUGGACCUCACCAAGGUUUGACAUCCUAUGACAACCCUGGAAACAGGGCUUCCUUCGGGCAUAGUGACAGGUGCUGCAUGGUCGUCGUCAGUUCGUGCCGUGAGGUGUUCCGUUAAGUCGGGAAACGAACGAAGCCCUCGUCGCAUGUUACAAAUUUCAUGCGAGACUGCCCGGGUCAACCGGGAGGAAGGCGGGGAUGACGUCAGAUCAGCAUGGCCCUUAUACCUUGGGCUACACAGGCGCUACAAUGGCCGGUACAAAGGGUUGCAAAACCGCGAGGUGAAGCUAAUCCCAUAAAGCCGGUCCAAGUUCGGAUUGGAGGCUGCAACUCGCCUCCAUGAAGUUGGAAUCGCUAGUAAUCGUGGAUCAGCCAUACCACGGUGAAUACGUUCCCGGAUCUUGUACUCACCGCCCGUCACACCAAGAGAGUUGGUAGCUCCUGAAGCGUCGCAUUAGCGGCACCACGGAGAGA
rnacentral:rRNA from 1 species